UUGUGACAUCACAUGCAUGUAUGAAAGAGAUGGACCUUGCAACACAAUGGUGCCAUGAUGCUUUGAUGAAAUCAGCAAUGUCCUGUGAAUAUCCAUAUAUACAAUGACAGAAAAAAACAAGACAAUGAUACUGAUAUCAGUGGUGAUGAAUUUCCUCAGCAUUCUGUACAAAUAGUUCAAAUCUACAUUCUUUCUUGAUGGCUCAACAAAAAUAUUAGAAAAUCAUUUUCAUUGACUAUGAAAUAAUAGAUUAUUCUUCCUUGUAUGGACAGCCUUUGGCUUUUUGGAUUUCAAGUUUUUAAGCCAAGAGUCAUGAUAAUAAGUGCAUUCCUAAUGCUCAGCAAAGUCAGACAAAGGAAGCAUUUCUGAAACCGCUUUGCUUUGAUGGCAAAUAUCAGCCUAACAGAACAAGCAAAUUGCAGUGGAUCCAUUGCCAGUAAAGACGGGCACCAGCUGUUGAGUAGCCAUGGUAUUUUUAUUACUGUUUUUAUGCA